UACUAAAAUGUAUCUAAUGUUGCUAAAAUAGGCCUGGAAUAGAGAGUGUGACGAUUUGUCAUCACAACCCCAAACUUGAACCUUUCCUUGUCCUCAAGGAAACAACUUUUACCUCAAGCUUUUGUGUCCAGACCUUGGCAUUUUCCUUAAAUUCACUCGAAUCAUACAUACGUGAGACUCACCUGAUGAUCAAUGAUCCUCCUGCAAACAAUGCUCAAUUGCACAACCGUUCCCGCAAGACAUUUUCAAGUAGUUCACACUUUUCGACCAAAGCUCUAUGAUUUCAUCACACUACUCACAUGCACUCUUCAGGUUUUGGUAAUACACUCAAAUCAACACAUCAAUGCAAAUCAACAAUAAUUUUGCAAGUAAUCUAAGAAUUCAUUCGGUUCACUUUGUGCACACACAUUAGAGGACUUUUAGGGUUAUAACGUGGCUUGGCUAGGGUG
rnacentral:lncRNA from 1 species